AGGGUUUGACAUGAUACGAAUUUCUUUGAAAGAAGAAAGUGCCGUUUGGAACGUAUACACAGGUGGUGCAUGGCUGUCGUCAGCUCGUGUCGUGGGAUGUUGGGUUAAGUCCCGCAACGAGCGCAACCCUCAUUUUUAGUUGCCAUAUGGAACUCUAAAAAGACUGCCGGUUAUAAACCGGAGGAAGGCGGGGAUGACGUCAAGUCAGCAUGCCCCUUACACCCUGGGCUACACACGUGCUACAAUGGGCGAGACAAUGAGAUGCAACUCUGCAAAGACUAGCUAAUCUAUAAACUCGUUCUAAGUUCGGAUUGUAGGCUGCAACUCGCCUGCAUGAAGUGGAAUCGCUA
rnacentral:rRNA from 1 species